UACGUAGGAGGCAAGCGUUGUCCGGAAUUACUGGGCGUAAAGCGCGUGUAGGUGGUGGGACAAGUCUGCUGUGAAAGCGCCUGGCUUAACCGGGCGAGGUCGGCGGAAACUGUCCGACUUGAGGACGGUAGAGGGGGGUGGAAUUCCCGGUGUAGUGGUGAAAUGCGUAGAGAUCGGGAGGAAUACCUGUGGCGAAGGCGGCCAGCUGGGCCAGAUCCGACACUGAGGCGCGAAAGCGUGGGGAGCAAACAGG
rnacentral:rRNA from 1 species